AACGGCCGUACCAUGCUGAAUAUAUAUCGGUUCUCGUUAGAUCACCGAAGUCAAGCAUGAUUGGGCGCGGUCAGUACUUGGGUGGGUGACCACCUGGGAACACCGCGUGCCGUU